rnacentral:lncRNA from 1 species
AUGCUGGGAGUUGUAGUCUCUUCACUGCUCCCGCCCGUUGUUUCAGGCACUUCGGGACUACAAUCCCAGCAUGACCCGGGCUCGGGGACGGGGCGCAGUUCUCGUGGGAGGAGCGGGGCGGUGAGAGCCUGGCUAGGCAGGCUGGAAACAGUAGCUCUUAACGGUCCCCCGCCCGUUGGUGGCAAGGCGGCUGGACUGGAAUCCCAGCAGGCGACAUGCGAGGAGGCGGGCAGCCCAGGAGGAGGGUUGGACACGGCAAUGUGGACCUCGCCGCUUCCACAACGAUGCUGGCUACUGAUCGCGUGCACUUCCUUGCCAAGGAAAGUUCGAGACUAUGGUUAGGUGGUGAGGAAGGCAGGCUCAGCACCCAAGCCUUGGGGAGAUGCAGAAAGGGCCCAUCCCAGGCACUCAGGUGGAGGUAAGCAUAGCCUUUGGGCCAUAAGACCUCAUGGCCACUGGGGUGCUGGUCUGGAAACAAGUCCUCAUCUUCCCAGAAAUGUCAUCUUUUGUCUGCAGCAGCUGGCUGGAGAAAGAUUUCAGAAAGGUGUGUGCCUGGGGCACCCAAAGGCAUGACCUUCCUUUCUCCUUGGCAUAGGCCUUACAACACUGAGGAAAGGCCAUGGUUUGGCAAUGGAGCCUUCAAUAGUUUUCACCCCUAUGGAUCGAAAAGAUUGUCCAAAUAGAAGCUUAUAUAGGAUGUUAAAAAGUAAACUGACAGGACUAUGAAAAUUGUCUCCCAACAGAGUACAACUUUUUUUUUUUUUCUGAGAAAAAACUCCAGGAUGGAGUACAGUGGUGUGAUCUUGGCUCACUGUAACCUCCACCUCCGGGGUUCAAGUGAUUCUUCUAUCUCAGCCACUAGAGUAGUUGGGACUACAGGUGCGUGCCACCAUGCUUGGCUAAUUUUUUGUAUUUUUAGUAGAGACAGGGUUUCACCAUGUUGUCUAGGAUGGUCUCAAUCUCCUGACCUUGUGAUCCGCCUGCGUCUGCCUCCCAAAGUGCUGGGAUUACAGGCGUGAGCCACUGUGCCUGGCCCAUUUUUUAAAAAAUACAGAAAUAUUGGUAAAACCAUUAUCAAAAACAUUGUGGAGCUUUCUAAAAACUUACAAUACCACAUUAUCCAGCAAAUCCACUUCCAGAUAUAUAACCAAAGGAAAUAAAACUAGUAUCUAGAAGAGACAUCUGUGCUCCCAUAUUUAUUGCAGAAUUAUUUACAAUGACAGAUGUGCAAACAACCUAAGUAUUAAUAAAUGAAUGGAUAAAAUAAUUGUGGAGUAUUUAUAUAAUGGAAUAUCAUUCAGCCAUAAAAAGAAAAUCCUGUUAUUUACAACUAUAUGAAUGAACCUGGAGAAGAGUAGGCUGAGUGAAAUAAGCCAGACAGAGAACGAGAAAUAUUGUUUGAUUUCAGUUAUAUAUGAAGCCUAGAAAGUUAAAGUCAUAGAAACAGAGAGUACAAAGUGGUUCCCAGGAGCUGGUGGGUGGGAGAAAUGGGGGGUUGUUAAUAAAAAGUGCAAACUUUCAGGUAUAAAAUAAACAAGUUCUAGUGGUCUACUGCACAGCAUGGAUGUUACUGAAUGUUAUCUUAGUCUGUUCCAACUGCUGUAAUAAAAUACCUUAGAGUAGAUAAUUUAUAAGCAGUAUAAACUGAGUUCUCACAGUUAUGGAGGCUGAGAAGUCCAAGCUCAAGGCACCAGCAGGCUAGGUGUCUGGUGAGGGUCCAGUCUCUGGUUUCAAGAUGGCACCUUAAAUUGCUGUGUCCUCACACAGCAGAAGGACAAAAUAGGCCAAACUCAUUUUCUCAAGCCGUUUUACAAUGACAGCUAAUUGCGUCGUUAAGGGCAGAUUUUUCAUGCCGUAGCAACCAAGUAAAGUCUAAUACUAUUGUAUUGAGGAUUAAGUUUUAAAGUAAAUUUGGGAGGGACACAAAUAUUUGAACAAUAGGAAUUAUGUUAAUUUAACUGAUUGUGAAAAUGAUUAGACAAUGUGUGCAUGUAUCAAGUCAUCGCAUUGCACACCUUGAAUAUACUCAAGCCUCACUUGUCAGUUAACAUUUUUAAAUUAAUAAAAUAAAAUAAAAUGUGGAAGUAAUUUAUCCUUUGAGCAAUAAAAAAGUCUACUGAAGAUUUUUUAACACCAGCACUACUUUGGCUGUUUGGUGUUGUGAGAUUGCUAAAAACUGAAAAAUGCAGAAAGAAAUGGAAAGAAUCACACACAGUCUUCACAAAAAAGUCAGCUCUGAGUGUGAGGUGGUGUUAAUCUGGGUGAGGCAAUGACAAGUGAGGGCAAAUUAAAAUAACCCUAAGACAAGAUUUUCAGAAUAAAUUAAAUUUUGUUAGCUUACUGGAAAAAAUUACAUUACUAGCCAUGUAACAAACCUAUUUUGUAUAGGUGGUGAAACCAAAUUUUAAGUAUAAAUUAUGAUGUAUUAAAAAUCAAAAAGAAUAUUUUUGUGGUCUUAGAAAAAAAUUACUAAAUGAACAAGUAAGCAGAAUAUACAACAUUUUCAAAUACUAAAGAAAAAAAUCAUUGAAAAUUGCAGGAUUUUAGGCUCCAAAAGACUCACUAAUUUAAUAGAAGCAGAAAUCCUACAGCUAGAAAAUUUGCAGAUAGAAAAUAUAUUUUUCAGCUUGGAAAUCAAAAUAGAAACUACAAAUUCAAGUGUAACCAACAAAUAAUAUAUACCUACAUAUCGUGUAACUUUUUGUUGAAAAAAGACAUUUCGAAUAUUAUAAUAUAGUAAUUUUGAAAUCAGAUUAUCAUCCUUCUUCUGUGUUUUUGUUGCUACCUAUUGUGAUGUGUGCUCUGUCAUGCAUGUACAUUGACAUCUCUGUUCCAUCAGCUUGGUAGUAAGCUACUGAUUUGCAGAGAUUUUCUUAAAUGUUUGUUAUUUCCCCACUUCCUCCAAAUAAAUUUUAUAAUGUUCUCUUUUGGGUGCGUGUGUGUGUGUGUGUGUGUGUGUGUGUGUGUGUGUGUGUGUGCUGGAGCAUGCCUUUACUAAUCAGCCAGAAAUUUACAACUUGGUUCUUGCCUUACUUUCUGCUGAUACAGAGUUUGAAGGUCAAACAAGGGUGAAUACUGAGGGUCUUCCUGGGAUUUUUUCUUCUCUUUUCUUUUUUUUUUUUUUUUUUUUUUUGAGAUGGAGUUUCACUCUUGCUGCCCAGGCUGGAGUGCAAUGGCGCAACCUCAACUCACCACAAACUCUGCCUCCCGGGUUCAAGCGAUUCUCCUGCCUUAGCCUCCCAAGUAGCUGGGGUUACAGGCAUGCGCCACCACACCCCACUAAUUUUGUAUUUUUAAUAGAGAUGAGAUUUCUCCAUGUUGGUCAGGCUGGUCUCAAACUCUAGAUCUCAGGUGACCCACCUGCCUUGGCCUCCCAAAGUGCUGGGAUUACAGGUGUGAACCACCAUGCCCAGCCCUCUUCCUGGGUUUUUCUAGACUGCAUACCUGGCCCUGAGCCUCCAUAUGACCUCCUAAAUUUCCUAGACUGUUAUCACAGCCCAAUCCCCAAAGUGUCCCAUUACCCAGUCUUUCCUUUUAGGGCUUUUUUUUAGCAUGAUUAUUUUUUCCUCUAUUAGUAUAUUUUGUCCCAGGAAAGCCAGGUAGUAUAUUCAUUUAAAAGUUUGGGAGAACUUAUUAUUAUUGACUUGAGGUUUUUUUUGUUAUUGAGAUUUUUUUGUUGUUGACUUGAGAUUUGUCUUUCUUUUUUAAUGAAGAAAUUCACUGGUAUAGGUUUCCCUCAAAACACUGCUUUCACCAGUUUCCAUAAGUUUUACAUUUUGGUUACAUUGUCAUUUAUGUUAAAACACUUUCUGAUAAGUAUUUGUGGUUUUCUUUUGAUCCAUAAAUUAUUUGGGAUUUUGCCAUUUAAUGUCCACAUACUUACGAGUCUCCUAAAUUUCUUGCUUUCAUUGAUCUCUGAUUCUAUUAUAAUUAGAAAUCACCCAUUGUAUUAUCUCAAUCUCUAUUUUUACUGAUGUUUUAUGGCCCAGCAGGUGGUCUGUCCUAGAAAAUGUUCCAUGUGGAUUUGAGAAGAAUAUAUAUUCUCAUGUUGGAUGCAGUGCUGUGCAUAUGUUUGUUAGGUUUAGUUGUUUUAUAAUGUUGUUCAUGUUUUCUAUUUUUUAUCUUCUGUCUACUUGUUCUAUCCAUUAAUAUAAGUGGAGCAUUAAAGUCUCCAACUAUUACUGUUGAAUUAUCUAUUUCUCCCUUUAUUUCUGUCAUUUUUGCUUCAUGUAUUUCUGUGCUUAUUUGAUAACUGCAUAUAUGUGAAUAAUUUUUUUAUAUUUUCCUGAUGAGUUUACCCUUUGCCAAUACAAAAUGUCUUUAUCAGUAUAUAUUUUUUUGUUUUGUUUCAUUUUGUUUUUGAGACAAGAGUCUUGCUCUGUCACCCAGGCUGGAGUGCAGUGGCACAAUCUUGGCUCACUGCAACCUCCGCCUCCUGGUUCAAGUGAUUCUCCUGUCUCAGCCUCUUGAGUAGCUGGAAUUACAGAUACCUGCCACCAUGCCUGGCUAAUUUUUGUAUUUUUAGUAGAGACAGGGUUUCACCAUGUUGGCCAGGCUGGUCUUGAACUCCUGACCUCAAGUGAUCCACCUGCCUUGGCAUCCCAAAGUGCUGGGAUCACAGGCAUGAGGCACCGCACCCGGCUGCUUCUUGCAAGUUUUUGAACGUGUCAGUGAAGAAGCAGUUGUGUCAUUUUGUGAAAUAAAUUUCCAUUUACAAACACAGGAAGAGGACACAUUCAUGGACUCCAAACAUAGGUCGAGCUGGCCCUCCUUAUUUAUUGGUUCUGCAUUCCUGGAUUCAACAAAUGAGCCUCAAAAAUAUUUUUAGUAAUGUUUCUGUACUGAACAUUUACAGAAUUUUAUUUUUCUUUUCACUAUUCCCUAAACAAUACAGGAUAACAACAAUUUAGGUAUUAAAAGUAAUCUAGAGAAGAUUUAAAGUAUGCAGG